rnacentral:misc_RNA from 1 species
CGUCACAAGAUGGCGCGGAGUAACUCCUUUUUGUUUAUGGGGUAGCGAGAAACGGUGUUAUUUACAUACGCGUCCAACGUAUAUACAUCAAAUACACACAUAUAUAUACCUGUCCAUGGUUACGGCAACUGUCAAGCGCGACAGGCGUAAAACGGAUCGACGUCGGAAGUGAAACGAUGCGUGCGGUGUGCAAAGCAGCACCGGGUCCAAAAUAAGAUUAUACGAGCGUCUUUGAUACUGCGUUGGGAACGCUACGAUAAGCAACACGAUUGGCUUGCGCAAUGACAGUCUUCGGCAGUCUUCGCGUUUUGGCACUCGUCUUCCUAGUCGCGGGGUCCUCGUAAGGGGAUUUUCGCCUUGAGAGAAAGUUAUCUCUCCCUUUUUUUUUUCCGCGAUACUGCGAUGCCGUUGUGUCCCAGCGGCGCGAAGAAUAAUGCGUUGUUAUUGAUGACGGUCGGAAGGCACGUAUCCUCGUGCAUCCCAUCGACCCGGUGAACAGAAAUGGGCAAGCAAAACGGCUCGUGCUGGUGGUGCGUGAAGGCCGUCAAGUGGAUACCAGUGAUAUUCAUUCUGACGAUCGUCGCGUGGUCCUAUUAUGCUUACGUCGUGCAAUUGUGCUACUAUACAAUAGACAACUAUGUUCAAAAAGCUUUCUAUCUGCUUUUCUUCCACCUCCUAAUUCUGAUGUUUUUAUGGUCAUACUGGCAGACAGUGUAUACAAAUUUAAUGCCAGUGCCAGAUAAGUUUAAAAUACCUGAUGUCGAAAUGGAAAAAUUACAGCAAGCUGAGACAGAAGAAGCGCAGAGACAAAUUUUGGAAAGAUUUGCACAAGAUCUUCCUGUUACUAAUCGCACUAUAAAAGGAGCUAUGAGAUUCUGUGAGAAAUGUCAGUUAAUAAAGCCUGAUAGAGCACACCAUUGCAGUGUAUGCAGCACUUGCGUCCUAAAAAUGGAUCAUCAUUGUCCAUGGGUAAACAAUUGUGUAGGCUUCCACAACUAUAAAUUUUUUAUGCUGUUUCUAGCAUAUGCACUUCUCUACUGUAUGUUUAUUACCGCCACAUCUUUACAAUACUUUAUACGAUUUUGGAAAGGAGAAUUAGAUGGAAUGGGUAGAUUUCAUCUACUAUUCCUUUUUUUUGUUGCCUUGAUGUUCGCAGUCAGUCUUAAUUCUCUUUUCUUCUAUCAUUGCUAUCUUGUUGUGCAUAAUAGGUCAACACUAGAGGCCUUCAGAACACCUAUGUUUCGAACAGGGAAAGACAAGGAUGGAUUUAGUUUGGGAAAAUAUAAUAAUUUUCAGGAGGUAUUUGGUGACAAUCCAAGGCUCUGGUUUCUCCCCAUAUUUAGUAGUAUACUGCCUAUGAUAAUCUUUAAAAAAACAACUAUGCAGUUUAAACUGGCAUACUUAAACGAAAUUUGAAAUGCGGUAACAUAUAAGUACUGCAGGGCCUUGAGUAAAGUUCUGGGAAAUGGUGUCGUCUAUCCAGUAAGAUCGCAACACCAGGGCACACCCAAUACUUAUGACUCCAUGGGCAGUACUCAGAACAGCUUUGGAGAUGGGGUAAACUUUCCCGAGCGGCUGUGCAAUGAGGA